UACAGAGGGUGCGAGCGUUAAUCGGAAUUACUGGGCGUAAAGCGUGCGUAGACGGUUAUUUAAGUCGGAUGUGAAAGCCCCGGGCUCAACCUGGGAAUUGCAUUCGAGACUGAAUAGCAAGGGUGCGGUAGAGGGAAGCGGAAUUUCCGGUGUAGCGGUGAAAUGCGUAGAUAUCGGAAGGAACAUCAGUGGCGAAAGCGGCUUCCUGGACCAGCACCGACGUUCAGGCACGAAAGCGUGGGGAGCAAACAGG
rnacentral:rRNA from 1 species